CAAAUACGUGCCGCUGUCUCCCUCUUUUGCACCUCUGUGCUGUAUUCUGGUUGAUGUAUUAAUAAGAAUACAAAAAAAGUAAUUAACAAAGCAAAAAUAAAUUUACGUAGGUGUGCCUGCUCUCUCUCGGGUUCAGAGGCACGAGAUCUAGAGUACCCUUAGUAGCUCAGUCCCAGUCAGCAGCAGAAGACGUAGCCGUGAGUCCUCCACAGUUGGGGAUAUGUCCUAUCAACUCCACAGUUAUGAUAGUUUAGAGGCUUUUUGGACAGAUGUAUCAAUAUUCAACUUUCAGUUUUGAGUAUUCUAGACGUUUUGAACCU